UUACACAGGAUAACAUGCAACACAAACGUAAAUAAAUCUAAAAUAAAAAACAAAUAUACAACAUAUUCUCACAAUAAUUUUGCCCUUAAAACUGCACUAUGCAACUUUUAUAGAAGUUUUUUUUUUUUUUUACAUGUUUAUUAAAACAAUCACUAUUCUAUGACAGCAUGGUAUGAGAUAGAUAAUCUGUGCAAAAAAAAAUCAAUCUCUACUCUUUUCUUCUAAUGCUAAUGUAACCCAGGUUAACAUAAUCUUCACUAAAUGUAAGCCUUUUCAGAAAAAUAGCUAUAAAAUAGAUAAAUAUGACAUAAAUAAAUAAAUAGGAGAAUAAAUAGAGAAUAAACAGGUCUUAAACCGUUAGAAAUAUACAAAGUAAUAAUUACAGACAUCAUAAGUGUUGUAUGUAAAAACAUAUUAUGAUAUUUAAUUUGGUUAAAAAUCUGUAUAAAAAACAGUUUUAUUUUGUCAGCAGCUAAAACGGUCAAGCGUGAGAUAAAUCUCUUAUUCUGAAGGGUCACAUUGAUGUGUAACCCAUGUGACUAGCUCCAGCUACGUUCUCUGGCGCCAGAAGAAGCAGAGAGCGCAAAGAAGAAGCAAAGAAUAAAGAAGCUUAGAGAGUUGUGCUGUGAACGAAAAAAAGAUAAGAGAAAUCGACGAUUAAAAACAUUUUUUCCAUUUUUGGAGAAGGAGCGUUCUGCAUUUUUCAACCUGACUGCGUUUGGGAUUGUGUUAUAUGUUACAGAACUGGACUUGGCCUUUUUGAGGUUCUGCUGGAAAUUGGACCGGGAAAUUCCGAGUCGAUUGCUGAAUUGGAUUCUGCUAGUGAGAAACAAGAUGGCAAGCCGUAACCCAGGAGCCCUUUAACCGUCUAGCAGGAGCUACGCCCUCUGCUGGACAUUGCAAAUCAUCCACACUGGUAUGACCUGCCCAUGUUUUCCUGCUGAAAUAGCGCUGGAUUCAGAGAAACGGGAUUAACCCUUCAGGAUCAUCAGAGAGAAAAGACAUCGAUUUGAAGCACAAGUUAUUCGGUCUUUUGCUGGAUUGUGUCUGUUGUAUUUUAUUGUUCUUUUUCCUUUGAACCACAUUCAAUGUCUGUUACAGUGUGUGGAAUGUAAAAUUGUCUGUUGGGUUAAAAUAGAAAUAAGAAAUGGUUAAAACGGGAAAUUAAAAACUUUAACUUCUGAAAAGAACACUAAACUAAAAAUAGAUUUAAAAGAUUAAAACAAACUGAAUUAAAUAGAUUAACAGUAUCAACUUGAACUUAAAUAGAACUAUAACAUAGGUUUAAAUAAAUAGUAUCCUUUAAUACCUAACAAUAGGUUUAAAUUUAAAAAAUGGGAUUAUACAAAAUAUUUGGAAAGAAACAGGGAAACUAUUUUGUAUUGAAUUUGUGUCAUUGUAUGUAAACUGUAUAAUUGUUGUUUAUUUUCUUUUUCUACAAAAAUAAUUAGCCGGCAGUUUAAACUUA